rnacentral:rRNA from 1 species
UAAGAGGCUGAAACUCGCCUCUUUGAAGUCGGAAUCGCUAGUAAUCGCAGAUCAGCAUGUUGCGGUGAAUACGUUCCCGGGUCUUGUACACACCGCCCGUCAAACCAUGAGAGUCACCAACACCCGAAGUCCGCCUUGGCGGCCUAAGGUGGGGGAGAUGAUUGGGGUUAAGUCGUAACAAGGUAUC